UUUACAGGAUUUCGUCUUGCUUGUCUCUUUAUGUAUGUUUGUUAAUGUAUUUAAUGUUGUAUAUUAUAUCUAUGUUAGUUGUUUUCAAACUUCUUUCGCUUAAGAUAAAACCAGUUACCAGGUAUGUAACUUUGUGGGUGGUUGUUUUCUAUAUGGCUGACAGCCCAAUAGUGAUUUGGAGCAAUUGGUGUUAGGUGUCUUGCUCAAGGACACAUACGCCAACAAUAGUAGCAGCAUUGAGCCUUGAACCCUUAACCUAUGGGUUGAAGACACAGACUGAUACCCCGGGUCGUAUGAAAGCAACAUCAGGAACCCAAACACCCACGUCAAUCCCAUGGACAAACACAUUGUGAUCGCCAUUACCAGGUUUUGCUGCUUGCUGCGUUUCUUAGCACUUGAUUGCACCUGUCAAUCAAAGUGUUUACAGUUUACAACUAUUGGUGUAAAUGUAGGUUUUUGAAAUACAUUUAACUCAAUGACAGUCGUUAUAACACAAGUGCCCGAUCACAAGCUACCAUGUAUGUUGCUUUGUGAGUGAUUGAACAACUUUCACCUCAUUUCUUUUAAUGAUAAGUUUGUAAACCAAGAUUGUGAAGAUAAUGCAGUUCAUCAACAGAAUCAAGCCAACAAUCAACAGGAAGCCAAAAUAAAGUGUUUCCUGGUGAAUCCAACACAUGUUGUCCGCUAUAUACAACGAAGAUGGGGGUGG